rnacentral:rRNA from 1 species
CUCUGAUGAUUCAUGAUAACUCGACGGAUCGCAUAGCUUUGACGCUGGCGACGCAUCAUUCAAAUUUCUGCCCUAUCAACUUUCGAUGGUAGGAUAGUGGCCUACCAUGGUGGUGACGGGUGACGGAGAAUUAGGGUUCGAUUUCGGAGAGGGAGCCUGAGAAACGGCUACCACAUCCAAGGAAGGCAGCAGGCGCGCAAAUUACCCAAUCCUGACACGGGAGGUAGUGACAAUAAAUAACAAUACCGGGCUCAUUGAGUCUGGUAAUUGGAAUGAGUACAAUCUAAAUCCUUAACGAGGAUCCAUUGGAGGGUAAGUCUGGUGCCAGCAGCCGCGGUAAUUCCAGCUCCAAUAGCGUAUAUUUAGUUGCUGCAGUUAAAAAGCUCGUAGUUGGACCUUGGGAUUGGGGCGACCGGUCCGCCUCCGGCGAGCACCGAUCGUCUCGUCCUUCUGCCGGCGAUGCGCUCCUGGCCUUAAUUGGCCGGGUCGUGGCCUCCGGCGCUGUUACUUUUGAAGAAAUUAGAGUGCUCAAAGCAGGCCUAAGCUCUGGAUACAUUAGCAUGGGAUAACAUCAUAGGAUUCCGGUCCUAUUGUGUUGGCCUUCGGGAUCGGAGUAAUGAUUAACAGGGACAGUCGGGGCAUUCGUAUUUCAUAGUCAGAGGUGAAAUUCUUGGAUUUAUGAAGACGAACAACUGCGAAAGCAUUUGCCAAGGAUGCUUUCAUUAAUCAAGAACGAAAGUUGGGGAGCGAACAAGUUCCCGAGAGGCAGCCGAUAGGGACGGCGGCUCAGACGCACGAAAGAGAAGGACUACAGGGAGCCGCCACCGGCGCCGCUGUUCGAGCGAGCGAGCUGACCUCAUGGUCCUUCUACAGAGCUGGAAUCGCCGAGUUCGUGCCACUUCCUGUUUCUGUACGUCACAAUUUUAACGGUGAUGGGGUGAAGAGAGCGCCGUCGUGUGUGCGUCGGUUGGGAUCCAAGGGAUUGCUUGGGCCUUUGGCGGUAUGAUAUUUGCUCUCGUCUACUGUACCGCUGGAAUCUCGGGGGCCACAUAAAUCCAGCAGUGACAUUUGGACUCUUCCUUGCCGGAAGCUGUCACUGACAAGGGCAUUGUUCUACAUGAUCAUGCAGUGUUUAGGUGCAUAUGUGGUGCUGGUGUGGUUAAGGGUUUCCAACCACAUCUAUACGAGACCCUUUGGUGGUGGGGCCAAUGAGGUGGCCCCGGGCUACACUAAGGGUGAUGGUCUUGGUGCCGAAAUUGUAGCACUUUUGUCCUUGUCUACACCGUUUCUCUGCCACGAUGCUAAGCGCAAUGCUAGAGACUCCCACGUCCCAAUAUUGGCACCAUUGCCCAUUGGAUUUGCAGUGUUUUUGUCCAUUUGGCGACCAUCCCUAUCACAGGAAACUGGCAUCAACCCUGCUAGGAGUCUUGGUGCUGCAAUUAUUUUCAACAAGGACCCUGCUUGGGAUGACAUG